UACGUAGGGCGCAAGCGUUGUCCGGAAUUAUUGGGCGUAAAGCGCGUGUAGGCGGCUUGGCAAGUCGGGUGUGAAAGCCCUCAGCUCAACUGAGGAAGUGCGCCCGAAACUGCUGAGCUUGAGUGCCGGAGAGGGUGGCGGAAUUCCCCAAGUAGAGGUGAAAUUCGUAGAUAUGGGGAGGAACACCGGUGGCGAAGGCGGCCACCUGGACGGUAACUGACGCUGAGACGCGAAAGCGUGGGGAGCAAACAGG
rnacentral:rRNA from 1 species